rnacentral:rRNA from 1 species
AUGGAUCGAGGUUGGAUGAGUCAACCAAGAGCUAGUGCUGCUUACAAAGAUGGUGUCGAGCAAUUUCUGACUUUUGCAUUCCGUGAUGUUCCGGCCGGUGAUAGAAUUCUUUGUCCUUGUGUAAAUUGCCGAAAUAAAGCUAUGCAGAGUUAUGAUGGAGUGAAGACUCACUUGAGAUGUGAUGGUAUUCUUCAAGGUUACACUAAGUGGGUUUGCCAUGGAGAGGAUUACAGUGAACCAUCAUUUGCAUUUGCUCAUGUAUCAGAUAACAGUGGCAAUCUUUCUAUUCCUGGCAUCCCAAGGAAUGUUGUUGGAGAAAGCAGCCAUGGAAGGUUGGAUGACAUGCCAGGACUCUUAAGUGCCGUCUUUGCUAUGGCUAACAGUUGUGAAUCUUUAUCAAGCACAUCUGAUGGUGAAUUAGAUGGCCUUGAAUUUGAGAAUAUGGAACCAAAUUCAGUUGAGGAUGAGAAUGCAGAUGCUCAAACAAGUAAGAAACCUGAUACAUAUGCAAGCUUCUUGGAGGAUGCAAACACAGAGUUAUACCCUGGAUGUAAUGCAUUUUCUAAGUUGUCAUUUCUCAUCACCUUGUAUCACAUGAAAUGCUUACAUGGAUGGACACAAGAAUCAUUUACAACGCUACUUGGUGUUUUGUCUGAUGCACUUCCAGAGGCAGAAAUACCAAAGAAGUACUAUGAGGUACAAAAACUCAUUCGUGGCUUAGGGCUUGACUAUGAGAAAAUCCAUGCAUGCCCCAAUGACUGUAUGCUUUUCCGAGGUGAACGAGCUGAUCAAGACUCUUGCCAUGUGUGUGGCAGCUCGCGUUGGGUUACAGAUGACAAGAAAGACUCCCAAGCUGAAUCUGUAUCUAAGCAAUCUAAGCAAAAGAAGAAACCAACCAAGGUGUUGCGUUACUUUCCUUUGAUACCGAGGAUUCAAAGGCUCUUUGCAACAACAAAAACAUCUGAUGACAUGCGUUGGCACGACGAGGGUCGUACCAAAGAUGGAAAGAUACGGCAUCCGGCUGAUGCCGAGUGUUGGAAAGAUCUUGAUGCUAGAUACCCCGAUUUUGCUGCUGAUCCUCGUAAUCCGCGCCUUGGCAUUGGAAGUGAUGGAGUUAACCCUUUCCGGAGUAUGAGUUCAAAACAUAGUACCUGGCCAGUGAUGCUUAUCCCGUACAACCUACCGCCUUGGAUUUGCAUGAAAGAAACAUCUCUAAUUUUAUCAAUGAUCAUUCCUGGACCAGCUUCCCCUGGGAAUGACAUUGAUAUAUAUUUGCAGCCACUGAUUGAUGAGCUCUUACAAUUAUGGGAUGGUGUAGACACAUUUGACGCUUCCUCGCAGGAGACAUUUCCUCUCAAGGCUGCACUAUUAUGGACUUUAAAUGAUUUUCCGGCAUUAGCUUACCUGUACGGUUGGAGCACAAGUGGUAAAUAUGGGUGUCCAUCAUGUGGUCCUUCUACAAGAUCAUUUCGCCUAAAUAAGAGUAUGAAACUUUGUUAUAUGGGCCACCGUCGCUGGUUACCACAGGGUCACAUAUUUCGAAACCGAAGGAGGCAAGAGUUUGAUGGCACUAAAGAGACUGAACUGGCACCGACAACUAUGAGUGGUACUUCAGCUUUGAAAAUGUUGCAAGGCAGAGUGUUUGUGUUAGGCAAAAAAGCCAAUGUAGCCAAGAAAGCAAAGGGCGGAAAGAAGAAAAAAAANNNNNNNNNNAAAAAAAACAGUGAAAAAGAAACUGAAAAUUAUCAAGAACCGAAGCGUAAAAGGAAGGCAGGCAACAAGAAGUCAAUUAAGAACCAAGGUAAGCCUGAGAAGAAGCCAGAGGAUUGGUUCAAAAAAAAAUCAAUAUUUUUCAACUUGCCAUAUUGGGAACUUAACAAGUUAAGGCACAAUCUCGAUGUAAUGCACAUAGAAAAGAAUGUGUUUGAUAAUUUAAUUGGAACGUUGUUGAAUAUUGAUUCUAAAACAAAGGAUGGCCUAAAUGCACGGCUUGACUUGGCAGAAAUUGGUGAAAAUGGAAUUCGACAUGAUCUUCAUCCUGUUGAAGAUAAUAAUGGAAAAACAGUAUUGCCUGAUGCACCAUUUACUAUGUCUAGAAAACAGCAAGAAGUACUUUGUUCAGUGAUGCAUAAUAUUAGGACUUCCGAUGGAUAUGCAUCAAAUUUUUCUAGGCAUGUCAACAUGAAAGAUUGUACAAUCUCAGGUCUCAAAAGCCAUGAUUGUCAUGUUAUUCUGGAAGAUAUUCUUCCUCUAGCACUUCGAUCCUGUUACCCGCACAAAGAGGUCAUGACAGUAGUUAUCGGGCUGUCUAAUUUCUUCAAGAAGCUAUGCUCGAAAGUGUUAGAUGUCUCUGAGCUUGAAAAACUUCAAGAGAGUAUUGUGAUGACACUUUGCAAUAUGGAGAGAAUUUUUCUUCCAUCAUUCUUUACUAUCAUGGCGCAUUUAAUGGUGCACUUGGUUGAAGAAGUUAAACUUGGUGGUCCAGUGCACUAUCGAUGGAUGUACCCUCUGGAGAGAUCAUUUGUCCGGCUGAAAGCACUUGUGCGCAAUAGAGCAUUUCCUGAAGGUUCAAUUGCUGAAGGGUAUCUUGCCCAAGAAUGCUUGACCUUUUGUUCAAGAUUUCUAGAAGGAACUACACGUUUUACAAGACCAUCAAGAAACCCUGCUCCGUCAGAAAAGAUAAAAGAUUUGUACAUGUUCAAUAGUGCUGGUGAACCAAUUGGAAAGGCUAUCCCGGUUGGGCAGUUUAAUAGCCGUCUUCUAAUUCAAGCACAUCGAUAUGUCUUACGACAUUGUGAUGAACUUGCAGAUUUCCGCAAAGAAUUUGUGGCCGAAGAGAAUAGCAAAGGAUGUGAGUCAGCUAAAUUGACAGAAGCUGAUAGCACUAAGUUAAUUAAUGGACACUUUGCUGACUGGUUGGAACAAAAGGUUUUACAAAGUGAUGGGCCAAAUAUAACAGAAAAGGUAAGAGCUUUGGCUGCAAAGCCAAAGAGAUAUGGGGUGCGCUACAGUGGCUAUGUCAUCAACGGCUUCAGGUUUCACACGAUGAGUCAUGACUCAGGGCAUGUCACACAAAAUAGUGGUGUAGUGAACAUUGCAGAAAAUGGUGUUCGAUAUUAUGGCAGAUUAACUGACAUAUUUGAAUUGUCCUAUAAUGAUUACAAGGUGGUGUUCUUUAAUUGUGAUUGGUAUGAUGUCUACCACAAAGUUGGCAUUCAAACCGAUGAGUUUGGGUUCAUUCUUGUGAACAAGUCUCGGAAAAUACACACAGGAGAUCAGUUAGAGGAUGAUCCUUUUGUAUUUUCUUCCCAGGUGCAGCAGGUUUUCUAUGUUCAAGAUCCAAAAGCUGAACUAUGGAAUGUAGUAGUGGAAGUCAGGUCUCGUGACCUUUUUGACAUGGGUGAUGAAGAAUCAUCAGAUGAAACAGAUUAG